GUACCACCGAAGAGUCCCAUGUAACUGGACGAAACAGUUGUCCAGUAC
rnacentral:hammerhead_ribozyme from 1 species